rnacentral:lncRNA from 1 species
GCUCCUUCUGACUUAUCUGGAGGGUCCUGAGCAAUGGUAGAGUCCAAGUCUAUUAUGAUUAGCAUUUUGGGAUAUGUAAAGGAGUUUGUUGAAGAUAACCGUCCACACAUUCAAGAGAUAUAUAUAAUGUGAUGAGAUUUGGAUCUCACAUUAGAGAGGCUAUUUUACCGUUGUGGGCCAGUUAUUAUCGAAGGAGGAUCUCCAUGUGCUUUUAGAGCAGCC